rnacentral:lncRNA from 10 species
UGUAUCUACAUAUUUGCAUAUAUUCAUCUGCCCCCCCCAUCCUGCCCACAUCUACCUCCCUUUCCGCAUCAUUUUAUUUCAUGUUAAGUGGCUAAAUUUACAAUUUAGUCUUUAUGUUACAGAAUAUCCAGGAGGAAUUGUUACUGAAUCAGAAGAAAAAUUAACAACAUUCUGAGAUGGAUCCAGUAAUAGGAUCACAUACUUCCAUUUUAGGGAGAAAGCGGCUGCAUCUUUGUAUAAAAGAUAUUUGCACACUGUAAGUCAGAAGCAUAAUGUUAUUUUUAUUGUUGUUUUAAAUAUAAGAGUGUAUAUAUGGGUGCUGAAUAGCCAAAGGAGUGGAUUGUGCUGAACAGUGUCUACUGUCCUGCAUUUGCUCUUCAGCCAUGUUCUUUCUAAUGCCAGGACUGGAAGCCUGCAAUUACACUUCCCAGACUCCCUUUCCAGCUGUCCUCCUGUUGGGUCUGCCAGUGAGAGGCACUAAUAAGAGACUGGAAGCCAGAGGAAGGAAGAAGCUACUUUCUCCUGGCUGAAACUACUUUCUCCUGGCCUCUACCAGUGCUUCUGGCUGUGACUCUGGCAGUGAUGGCAGUAGCAGCAAAGGCAUGACAGUGGCAUCCCAAAAGCACAUAAAUCAUCGAUUUUGUAUAACCAUAUAUUCUAUUUUGUUUUUCCAGGUCUUUCAACACCUUUGCAACACAUUUCCUGCAUCCUGUUUGAAAUACCCAAAAUGGUUCUUAUUAAACUUUGAUAAAUUUAUGCGAGGUAAUUUUAGUUAUUUUU